CUUGGCCGGCCACCUCCUCCCCUUUGCUUCAUUUCUUCUCACUCUCCACUUUCUCACACUCUCCUCCUGCCCUCCACCACGAAAUGGUGCUGCCCCUUGCUCCCAUGGCCGGCCAUGGCCAUGGAAACCACUCCAAGAUGAAGCUCCCUCCUCCCUCAAGCUCAUCCUCACCAUGAUAGCAUCUCUCUCACUCUCUUCUCCCCUAAUCUUUGAUGAGUUCAGCUCACUUUCUCCUUUAUCCUCUCACUAGAUUGGAUCUUGAUGCAGGUGCAUGUUGGUCAAAGCAUGGAGAAGGUUGAGCUAUCCUCAGAUCUGAAGUUCUUGAGCAAAAUCCAAAUCGAGUGAUUCAAAGUUCCACAGAUAGGUAUUGAAAAGAUCUACAACUUGGAGUUGGCCUCAUCCUCAAAUUCGUUACGGAUUUUGCAUGAUCAAGAUCUGGUCAGAUCUGACUUUGUCGAAUUAAACCAGGAGCUUGGAAACGAUUUUUUGGAUAAAACAAGUUGGGGGAUGUUUGGUUUAUACCAUGGUGAUAACCGAGAGAGGCAAUUGCUAAGUUGUGAUACUCUCAUACCUUUACUAGUUUCCGGCGAUAGAUGCGAACAAUUCCGGAGAAGAAGAAGAAGUGGAAUCGGACGAGGAUUUUAUUUAUGUUGUUGGGAUUCUUAUAUUGAUGGAGUUGAAAAAGUACAGGGACAAAUAAGCCAAGGCAAGCCAUCUUUUGAUCUCUUGCUAUUUAUCCUUCUUGUUGUGCUCAUUGCUCCAUUAUAUACUUGGUUCCUUGUAUCAUGUGUGAUUUUUGGUCCUCUACUCUAUCCAUAAUUAUUCCCAAAGUAUGUUGAACCCCUUGUUGAUGCUUUGCAUACUUGCUCCCAAGUAUGUGAACCCCCUUGUUGAUAUUAUGCAUGCUUACCCUAAGCAUGUACGCCCCCUUCACCAUAUCCAUGUUGUCAUCUUCUUAGUGGUAUGAUGAUUAACAUCAUGACCCCUGUUUGAAUCAUCUUAAUUAUGUUGUCCCUAUACAUGCUUAUCCUAAGUAUGUAUGAUCCCCUUAACACCUCAAUUAUCAUCCCCUUAGUGGUAUGAUGGCUAGCAUCAUGUCAUUGUGACUCUUAGUUCCUUCAUAAAACUAUAGGUUGGGAACCCCCUUGGAAAAAUACCUUGUUGAAAAGAAUGUUUGAAAACCUUGGGUGAGUUGGACUUACCCAAGUGUGUGUUUAUGAAAGGAAAGGAUCUUGGCAAAGAUGGUUGGAAAGAAAAUCUUGUUUUUGAAAACUUUGGCGUCUAAGUAUUCACCUGUGACAAUUAACCCGCGCAACCACAUUACCCUGGAGUGGGACGGGGCUUAGCUCGUAGUUUGUUCUUCUUAACAUGGGACACCGCACAACUAUAUAAGGGUAAGGUUACCCCUGAAUCCGGAUUGUCGUUGGUGGAGACAAUAGUAUAACGGGAGGCCUUCGGGGCUGACCCGUCCGGAAGACACUAUGGGUCUCCUGGCUUGGCGGUGGAGCCACGCUCAAAGUGAGGUGAGCUGCCACGGUGCCGGGGAGGUACAUACUCCAUAGGGUAGGAUCCCGUGCUAAGACGAAUAGGCGAAAGGCUAUGUCCGAGUUUUUGUCAUGGCAUAGUUGAUAUGCAGGGAUGAUGCCCACAUGAUAAACUCGCGGAUCUUGUGGGGAAAGUGUGCAAACUCUGCAGAGUCAAAUCUAUUCGAAUAGCCGUGUCCGCGGUCAUGGACGGUUGGAAUGGCUGUUGCUUAGCCUAAAGAGUUUUGCUUUAUGAAAGUGUUUGACAAAGAAAAGGAAGGAACUUGUUUUCGGAGUACCGGGAAGGUACGGGAAAAUUGUGAUGACCAUAUGGAGAUGGUCGGAAAGGAAAUAAACUGGGUUACUCCCAUCCUAGUGUUUUAUGUUGUAGAACUCUUUUGAAGUAUCUUCUUUAACAAAGAUAUAGAGAUGUCAUAGAACACUCCUAAGUAUCCCCUUCGACCGAGAAGUUGGGAUACUAUCUCCACCAAAGAAAUUACAUCUCUCCUAGAUGCUAUAUUCACAAGAGAAACUGAUUCUCUUAUGCAUGCUAUAUCCACAAGAGAAACUACUCUUCCUCUCUUGUCUCUUUAGUUAGCUCUUGUUAGUAUCUUCUUGAUGGUUUGCGAGUACAAUUCCAAAUGUACUCACGGCUUUGUCCCUGGCUAUUUACUUGGCCAGACUUGGAGGAACACGACGGAUGAAGAAGGAGUUGGCGACGUCUAUGCGUGCUAGGAACGUCUUCCCGAUCAGUUGCACUGUAGGGUUAUGGCAGAUGACUUGGGUACUGCGCUGCUGAAGUGAUGAUGCUGCUCUGAUGUUUAGUUAGGCCCUUCGAGGCUAUUAUGUAAGUAUUGGUCAAUGUGACCAUGUUGUAAUUUUCUUAUUCCGCUUUGUAAUGGAUGGUUGAUACGUCUCCGACGUAUCGAUAAUUUCUUAUGUUCCAUGCCACAUUAUUGAUGUUAUCUACAUGUUUUAU